rnacentral:rRNA from 1 species
AACGAACGCUGGCGGCAUGCCUAACACAUGCAAGUCGAACGAGACCUUCGGGUCUAGUGGCGCACGGGUGCGUAACGCGUGGGAACCUGCCCUUAGGUUCGGAAUAACUCCCCGAAAGGGGUGCUAAUACCGGAUAAUGUCUUCGGACCAAAGAUUUAUCGCCUUUGGAUGGGCCCGCGUUGGAUUAGCUAGUUGGUAGGGUAAAAGCCUACCAAGGCGACGAUCCAUAGCUGGCCUGAGAGGAUGAUCAGCCACACUGGGACUGAGACACGGCCCAGACUCCUACGGGAGGGAGCAGUGGGGAAUAUUGGACAAUGGGCGAAAGCCUGACCCAGCAAUGCCGCGUGAGUGAUGAAGGCCUUAGGGUUGUAAAGCUCUUUUACCCGGGAUGAUAAUGACAGUACCGGGAGAAUAAGCGCCGGCUAACUCCGUG